UUUUUACAGAGAGGAGGCGGAGGAGGAUGGAGGAUGGCAAAAUUAAUCUUCAACCCUCUCAUGUAAGAGUUUUUUACAGAGAGGAAAGGAGGAGGAGGAGGAGGAGGGCAAAAUUAGGCUUAAACCCCUCUAAUGUAAAAGAGAGGAGAGGAGGAUGUAAAGGGCAAAAUUAAGUGUGAACGCUCAUGUGAAAGAGCAUGUGUGUGGCAGGCGGCGUGGCUGGCUUCUCCAGGCAGCAGUCAAGGCGCACCUGCUUUCCAUCAUCUCAUCACCCACCCCAGUUAAGCCGGGUCUUCACUCCACUGCUCUGCCAGAUUAUUCCAUCAUGUUCGCUUUAUGUUGGUGCCACGCUGCUGUUUCCAGUUCCUGGUUUUCAUCGCCUGUUUUUCCACUCUGCCUCUGAGGACAUCUCCCGCAGCUCCCUGUCGCCACUGCUCCUACAAGAGACACUUUUCGUUCAAAUCAUAGACUGUUAAUAUUAAUACAGUCUACUGUUCAAAUACACUUUUUGUACCCUACCAUACCAGCUCCGGUUCUCUGCUUUGGGGUCCAACUUUACUAAGAUCCUAGCAGUGGCUUCAGUGUGUCUGAGUGAAAGAAAACCAUUUUUAAUAGUCCAAUAAACUAAUGUUAACAAAUAGAUUUAAGUGUUUAAUGA